rnacentral:rRNA from 1 species
UACGUAGGGGGCAAGCGUUGUCCGGAUUUAUUGGGCGUAAAGAGCGUGUAGGCGGCCAAUCAGGUCCGCUGUGAAAACUCGAGGCUCAACCUCGAGACGUCGGUGGAAACCGUUUGGCUAGAGUCCGGAAGAGGAGAGUGGAAUUCCCGGUGUAGCGGUGAAAUGCGCAGAUAUCGGGAAGAACACCCGUGGCGAAGGCGGCUCUCUGGGACGGUACUGACGCUGAGACGCGAAAGCGUGGGGAGCGAACAGG